CCUACGGGGGGCAGCAGUGGGGAAUAUUGGACAAUGGGGGCAACCCUGAUCCAGCCAUGCCGCGUGUGUGAAGAAGGCCCUCGGGUUGUAAAGCACUUUCAGUGAGGAAGAACGCCUGGUGGUUAAUACCCAUCAGGAAAGACAUCACUCACAGAAGAAGCACCGGCUAACUCCGUGCCAGCAGCCGCGGUAAUACGGAGGGUGCGAGCGUUAAUCGGAAUUACUGGGCGUAAAGCGCGCGUAGGUGGCUUGAUAAGCCGGUUGUGAAAGCCCCGGGCUCAACCUGGGAACGGCAUCCGGAACUGUCAAGCUAGAGUGCAGGAGAGGAAGGUAGAAUUCCCGGUGUAGCGGUGAAAUGCGUAGAGCUCGGGAGGAAUACCAGUGGCGAAGGCGGCCUUCUGGACUGACACUGACACUGAGGUGCGAAAGCGUGGGUAGCAAACAGGAUUAGAUACCCGAGUAGUC
rnacentral:rRNA from 1 species